rnacentral:rRNA from 1 species
UACGUAGGGUGCGAGCGUUGUUCGGAUUCAUUGGGCGUAAAGGGUGCGUAGGCGGCGCGGUAAGUCGGGUGUGAAAUCUCGGAGCUUAACUCCGAAACUGCAUUCGAUACUGCCGUGCUUGAGGACUGGAGAGGAGACUGGAAUUUACGGUGUAGCGGUGAAAUGCGUAGAUAUCGUAAGGAAGACCAGUGGCGAAGGCGGGUCUCUGGACAGUUCCUGACGCUGAGGCACGGAAGGUCAGGGGAGCAAACGGG